UACGAAGGGGGCUAGCGUUGCUCGGAAUGACUGGGCGUAAAGGGCGCGUAGGCGGCCUGCUAAGUCGAACGUGAAAUCCCCGGGCUCAACCCGGGAACUGCGUCCGAUACUGGUGGGCUUGAAUUCGGGAGAGGGAUGCGGAAUUCCAGGUGUAGCGGUGAAAUGCGUAGAUAUCUGGAGGAACACCGGUGGCGAAGGCGGCAUCCUGGACCGAUAUUGACGCUGAGGCGCGAAAGCCAGGGGAGCAAACGGG
rnacentral:rRNA from 1 species